GGGACACCGUGAUCAUGAAGGCGGUUCCCCCAGGGCGAGGCUGUUCCAUUGCACUGCGGAACGGUUGACCCCUGCGAUUAUCCCUAAUGUGGAUAACUCGGAUGCGUAAUUUUUGGUAGUGGGGACUGCGUACGCGCCGUCCCCCCAGAAUUCCCUCCAUGAAUUAGUUAGCGUCUUCUCGGAGGCCUUAUAUCAGGCAGUUUCUACCAAUAUUGGACAGAUAUAAUCGUUUGGUGGUACUUUUACAAAUCCGCGUUUAGUAUCGAGAUUAAAAUUAUGCUCGUUGUUGUCUCGUCCUCGAUGAUGAAAGAUAACUAGUGUAGUCCCGGCUUACAUCCUCUGGCGUCACACAAUUUUAAAGCUAAAAUAAAAUAUUUCUGAACGCAGUCGUACCUAGGUCCCACCACGCCAUCUAUACCUGUCAACUCAUUCGGUUUUCCGUGUUAAUGGCGUCACGUUUGCGGUCGUGAAAAAUUUGUUAUUUAGAGUGUUUUUUGUACUGAAUAUUCGAAAUAAUGGAAAUAAAAAGGAAAGGAGAACAUAAACUUCCUCUACUGAAAAAGAUUUGACGGUUGGAAAAGAAAAUAAUCAGUUUACCGGAAUCCGAUGACGAAGUUAAGGAGAUUGAAGGUGAAGUUGAAAGUGAAAAUGAGAAUGAUCAUCCUGAAACAGAAUUCCUUGAGGAUCUUAUCCUUGACGAGGAUUACAACAAAAAGAAGGAAUUAGGGGAUGAAGUACUGAAUAUACUAGGAGUGGCUCCCGCUCCAGCCCCUAAGAAUGCACUUCUGCUCAAACAAAUUGCUGAGAGAUGGUGCGAGAUCCUGGAGAAAGGACUGAAAAAAGAUGAAAAAGAAACAGUUACAAAAGACAAUCCAGCCUUCCAGAAUGUACUCAAGAUGUGUGCUCAAAAACAUAAUAAGGAAGUUGCCGCUGCUCUAAAUGACAGGGCUAAGAGAAGGGAUCAAGUAAUUGAAACCCGACAGAAACAAAUGUCCACAGCCUUGGCCUGUGUAGGCCAUGCUGUAUAGAUGUGUAUUGGAGAUCAUUAACAACUAAAACUGUAUUAAGAAACUGAAUGAAGCGGGUUAGCAGCUAAGUGAUUAUAUAUGUUCCGGAAACCAAUUGAUGUAGAAACUUGGCACUCUCAACAAUAAAAAGUAUCAAUCUAAGGACUCAUUACUUGAAACUGAGAAUGGAGAUUAUUUGUUUGAUAAUAAUCUGAUUGAAAAAAUAAAAACUGCAAGGGCAGUUCAAUAAUCAUGAAAGGAAUUAAAGGUGACAGUGAAUGAGAAAAAGAAGAACUUCAUAAGGUGACCUGAAAUCAGUGCUGAGAACGAGAACAAUCGUGCUUCAAACUGGUGGGGCCCUCCUCGGAUGUGAUCACAGAGGUUCCAGAGGUCAGGCGGGCCGACAUGCAAUCGUCAAAACCAGCCAGCAAGGAGACGAGGGUAAAAAUAAUGCUAAGGUAGGCAGAAUCAGUUUUUAUUCUUAACAAUUGGAAGCAAAUCACUAGUGAUCCUGUGAUAUUAUAUUGUGUCCAGGGUUAUAAAUAAUUACCUCAACAGGGGUCUCUACCCCUAAACAAUAAUUUGCUAUUGGUAGACCAACGGCAGAUUAAAUUAAAAUUUAAAUUGUUACUCAGUACGAAUGCCAUUGAAACAUGAUGGUUACAAGUGAUCGAUUCUGUUCUCCAGUCUUUGUUAUAAGAAACCAAAUGGUACCUAUGUUUCAUUUUGAAUUUGAAAAACUUAACACUUGUGAAUACUGAACAUUUUAAACUAGAGGAUUAUCGCACAGUAUGUAAGCUUAUACAGAAUAAUUAUUACCUAUUUAGUAACUUUAGAUCACAAAGAUGCAUAUUACCUGACUAAUAUAAAUGACUGUUGUUAAAAAGUAUUUAAGGUAAAGUAUUUAUUUAUUUUUAUGAAGGAAAACAUUACUAAGUAAAUGUUGUUGGACUUUAGAAAAUUACAGCAAAUUACAGCUGCUCUAUGAGAGAAAAGUUGCAUUUCAAUUAUUUAUAAUUGACAAUUAUCCGGGUAUUGGUAAAGACUAUAUUAUGUUUUAAUAAUAUGAACAUGAUUUUAGAUCUUAUCCACAUAAAGUUUUA